UGCGUUUGGAGUGUGUGGGCAAAGGUGAGGGGAGAAGGGAAACCAAAACCCAGUUCUUACGUGGUUUAGGCAUUCAAUAGUGUUUUCAUUAUAAACAGGAAAAGGUGAAGAAUUAAUUAUACAAAAUGAAGCCCCAUGUUUGGAAGCUGUGCUCUGCAGGCAGAGCUCUGUUGACUUAACCAGAUGAAAUUCCUGCAGAAAGCCUUCUUCUUUGCCAGUCGAGGCUGGUUGCUGCUUGAUUGCCCUUCCUUGCUGUUCCUGCGCCUUUCCAGCGUUUAAGAAAGACCUCUCCCUUAAGAAAGACCAUGAACAAAGACUAGACUUUAGAAAAGCAGGAGAUCCUCAAGUACCGUGGAACAAUGGAAGAGUGUUCAUAGUGGAUUUGAACAUGAGCUGCCAGCAAGCUGGAUGAAUGGUGUGACUGUCACAUCCAUUGAAUGUUCUGGAGCUUUCCUGACAAGGUCUUAACUUUCUGCCAGUACAGACUGAUUUUGUUUUGAAAUUUUUUGAGACAUUGUCUCUAAGCUGUAUCCGCAACUGAAGUGAUUGUGAGGGCUAAUGUAACUCUUUGUUCCAAACACAGCUCUCUUUUUUUUUUUCCCCUCCUUUUGGCAAGUAUGAACAUAUUUAAGUUUCAGAAAGCCUUGAAGUAAUUGUUACAGCUGUAUUUCACCAAUGGAUUGCAUGGACUGC
rnacentral:lncRNA from 1 species